AUGCUCGUCUACAAGUACCCGAUGAACCUGGCCGGGCUCGACCAACCGUUGCCAAUCGCGAACCUGCCUCUUGGUAACUUUGGGUACGCAGCUCCAGAAUAUGCGACCGCAGCAAGCCAACUGACAGAGAAGGUAGACACUUAUAGCUUUGGUGUGCUGAUGCUGGAGCUCGUCACAGGGCGGGUGGCCAAUGAAGCUGGAGCGGAUGGUCAUUUGGCGACCUGGGCACGGAGCAACUUCACUGAACUGAUGGCAAACCAACAGGAAAUGUUCCAGAGUGCCAUGGAGAAGGGCAUCCCAGAUCAAGCGCGGUACAUGGAGGAGAUGGCAAUUGUGUUUAGGCUGGGCGUGGAUUGCACCGUUGUGGAUCCGAAGAAAAGACCAUCGAUGCGGAUGGCUCUCAAACGACUCCGCCACAGCUGUGGGCGUGGCCCAUUCCGUGGCCUUCUCACCUGA
rnacentral:rRNA from 1 species